rnacentral:lncRNA from 1 species
CAGCAGUGUGUUCUCUGCAGCCUCCUUCCUCUCGGCUCCGGUUUUGAACUCGGCCAGGUACCUGCAGCGUUCCGAGGAUGACGAAUCAAGCAAAUCCAAGGCAUCAAGAAGAUGAGAUUUCGAGGAGAUUCGUCAACCCCCGACCUGUGGUAAUCCCCCUUCAUCUUGAGGUAGAAGACCUUGGACUCGGCGGCAGUGGCAGAGGGGACGAGGUGGGAAUCGAGGAGCUUCAAGAUGCCGUCACAGAUCUUGCUGAGUUCUGCUUCGAUCUUGCCUCUGUAAUCCUUGAUCAGGGCAACGUGGUCUUCGUUGCCACGGC